rnacentral:rRNA from 1 species
AACGAACGCUGGCGGCAGGCUUAACACAUGCAAGUCGAGCGCAUCCUUCGGGGUGAGCGGCAGACGGGUGAGUAACGCGUGGGAACGUACCCUUUGCUACGGAAUAGCUCCGGGAAACUGGAAUUAAUACCGUAUGAGCCCUUCGGGGGAAAGAUUUAUCGGCAAAGGAUCGGCCCGCGUUGGGUUAGCUAGUUGGUGGGGUAAAGGCCUACCAAGGCGACGAUCCAUAGCUGGUCUGAGAGGAUGAUCAGCCACAUUGGGACUGAGACACGGCCCAAACUCCUACGGGAGGCAGCAGUGGGAAUAUUGGACAAUGGGCGCAAGCCUGAUCCAGCCAUGCCGCGUGAGUGAUGAAGGCCUUAGGGUUGUAAAGCUCUUUCAGUAGGGAAGAUAAUGACGGUACCUACAGAAGAAGCCCCGGCUAACUUCGUGCCAGCCGCCGCCGUAAUAC